rnacentral:rRNA from 1 species
AACGAACGCUGGCGGCAUGCCUAACACAUGCAAGUCGAACGAGAACUCCGGGUCUAGUGGCGUAUGGGUGCGUAACGCGUGGGAACCUGCCCUUAGGUUCGGAAUAACUCCCCGAAAGGGGUGCUAAUACCGGAUAAUGUCUUAGGACCAAAGAUUUAUCGCCUUUGGAUGGGCCCGAGUUGGAUUCGGUAGUUGGUAGGGUAAAAGCCUACCAAGGCGACGAUCCAUAGCUGGUCUGAGAGGAUGAUCAGCCACACUGGGACAGAGACACGGCCCAGACUCCUACGGAAGGCAGCAGUGGGGAAGAUUGGACGAUGGGCGAAAGCCUGAUCCAUCAAGACCGCGUGAGUGAUGAAGGCCUUAGGGUUGUAAAGCUCUUUUACCCGGGAUGAUAAUGACAUUACCGGGAGAAUAAGCACCGGCUAACUCCGU